rnacentral:rRNA from 1 species
UACGGGGGGUGCAAGCGUUAUCCGGAUUCACUGGGUUUAAAGGGUGCGUAGGCGGCUUGAUAAGUCAGUGGUGAAAGCCCGCAGCUUAACUGCGGAAUUGCCAUUGAAACUGCCAAGCUUGAAUCUGGUUGAAGUGGGCGGAAUAUAUCAUGUAGCGGUGAAAUGCUUAGAUAUGAUGUAGAACACCGAUUGCGAAGGCAGCUCACUAAGCCAACAUUGACGCUGAGGCACGAAAGCGUGGGGAGCGAACAGG